UACGUAGGGAGCAAGCGUUGUUCGGAUUUACUGGGCGUAAAGGGCGCGUAGGCGGCAAAUUAAGUCAGCUGUGAAAUCUCCGGGCUUAACCCGGAACGGUCAGGUGAUACUGUUUUGCUAGAGUGCGGAAGGGGCAAUCGGAAUUCUCGGUGUAGCGGUGAAAUGCGUAGAUAUCGAGAGGAACACCAGAGGUGAAGACGGGUUGCUGGGCCGACACUGACGCUGACAGCGCGAAAGCCAGGGGAGCAAACGGG
rnacentral:rRNA from 1 species